ensembl:lincRNA
CUGGGACUCCCCAUGGCAGUAUGGCUGCAGCUGGCAUCUGAGGCAGUGCAGGUCUUCAUCAUAUAUAAUGCCCUGAACAUCACAGGAUGUUUCGUGUUCCUGGCCUCCAGCCCUAAAAGUUAGCAGUGGCUCUCUCUCACUGUGAUUAGCAAAAAUGCUCCCUCGCCUCCUUUCCAAGCACUCUUCCUGGUCCCAAGUGAGCAGCUGCAGCCAGAAGAGACUGUGUGGGCAGUGGCCACAUGUGGGCAGCAGGGGAAGCUUCCAUUGGCACCUGGCCUUGCUGGACAGCUUGCAAAUUCUCUGCUUCUUACAAGAAUCCCAGAUCUUCAACAAUCCGGGAUGAAAAUUGUGAGCAAUGUGGCUCAAAGCAAGCACUAGUGAUCCUGGAGCCCCAAGAGGACCGAACCCCAGUGUCCCCUGGGGAAAACAGACUUUCUCCCUAUCUGCAUACUCAAGGCCUCACAAAAAAAUUUCCAAGAACAACGCAGGCCAAUGUUGAAAUCAACAAAAGUAAAUGGCAUCACCCCACACCCAGGUUCAUCAUGCCGAUGGAGAAGACAGGUCUGAGCUUCUGAGGGAGGAGAGUGGAGAAGAAGUCAUCUGCUGGCCAUCUCCACCUCUCUACAUCCUCGACAGCCAGGGCCAAGGGAAAGGACACCACAGACUACUACAGAAACAACUUUGAGAGUCUGCUGACUCCAUCUUGGGAGCCUAGUGGCUGCCCAGCUCCUUGGGAAGGUUGACACCUACAAGUCAAGAGUUGUCCUGGAGGAUCCUGGAGCAUUGCCAUCCCAAGCCAGGGAUGCACGACUCCAUGUUCCACAAAGAUCAGCUUCCCACUUGGGGAGGGCAGGCAGUAGCUUGACAUUCCAGGUCCAGAGCUCCAAGAUCAGAGCACAGAGCAGUGCAGGCCGAUUCCAGUCGGAUUCUAGUUGGACUCUGGAUUCAAACUGAAACCCAACCCUCUGCGUGACCAGGUGAUCUUCCAGCCCUUUCUUCAUUUCUGAAGUCCUCCAGCUGGGAAAGGGGGAGCAGUGAUCAACCUCAAAGGACCCAUGAAGAUUAAUUAAUGCUUUCACAGUGCUUGGACAUCCACAAAUGACAGGCUCCACAGGAAGAGGACAGAAUGUCAUUAGGGUUAUUAGCAGCAAGGUGGCUUUGAAUCACAGAAAUCAGAGCUGGAAUUUGGGUUCCUGAUGGGGCUAGCCUCAAUUCUACUUUUCACCAAAUGGUGCGCGCUGUUUCCAAGGGACAGCCCUAAAUAUACAAGACACACUAAUGAUGGUGCACAUCAUUCCAUUUGCUGAAUCUGCCUUCCCUCCUUGGCUGCAACUGUAAAAUCCCAACCAUCUUCUAAAGCGAAGGUCAAGACCCCCUUUCCUCUAGGAAGUGCAAGGCAAUCACUCCCGGCCUCCGAACACACACUCUCCUGUGUCUGUACUCCAGGUCUCUCCCUGCCUGUUCCUAUUCCUUCAGCCACACUGGUAGCUCCAUGAGGGGCAAGCCAUGGCUCUGUGGCCUAGACGCCAGUGCAAGGUUUGCAUCACAUUUUUAUUAAAUGUGGCCUCUGAGAAUAAAGCUGAGUGGUAUUGCUGAG